UAAGUAGGUGUCCCUGCUACCA
rnacentral:tRNA from 1 species